CACAAUAGUCACAAAUUGAAGUGACAUUGUCGGUGUGUUUUCAAGUACCGAAAGAAAUACUAUGAAUCUUUUACAAAAUGUUUAUGUUGUGUACAAUGCCGUUAAAUUAACUGUAUGUCAGUCCUGUGAAGAAAAUUUUGGAACAAGGAUGUCAAGAAAAUCGUGGGUUCACGAGAAAUGAUGGUAUAAAUGGGCAGUUCGUUAUUGUGUAUAGUUGCAAAACAAAGCGCAGGAAAUGACCUCAGAAGACUUCUUCGGAUCUGCGUAAUCAUGGUAAUGAGAAGAACAGCCCAGAGUUUCGCAAUAUGAAUACUAUAAUCAACUUACAAAACAGAAAUGACAAAACAUCCCUUGCCUUAGAUUAUACAAAUAAGAUAAAGAUUCGUCAGUGGCUUACUAUUCAACUGACACCGAUAGACUAUAGAAAUGAUUAACUACAAUUUGGCAGUAUGAUAAAAAAUAAUCUGCUUUUGUCAUAGUAUAAUCUUGCACUGACAUAUAACUAUGUGGAUUAAUUGACAUAUCGUAGUCGCUCAGAAGUCACAAACUUCUAAAAAUCGAGUUGAAUAGAGACAACAAAGUUGCCUCACGAAAACAACAUAUAUAUAAUUUUUAAUUCAUCA